UAUCAGUAUGUGGAUGUGAAGAUGAGGAUGUUUAUCAGGAUGUGGCUGUGAAGAUGAGGUUAUUCAGGAUGUGGCUGUGAAGUAGAGGAGGUUAAACAGGAUGUGGCUGUGAAGGUGAGGACGUUUAUCAGGAUGUGGCUGUGAAGAUGAGGAGGUUUAUCAGGAUGUGGCUGUGAAGAUGAGGAGGUUUAUCAGGAUGUGGCUGUGAAGAUGAGGAGGUUUAUCAGGAUGUGGCUGUGAAGGUGAGGAGGUUUAUCAGGAUGUGGCUGUGAAGAUGAGGAGGUUUAUCAGGAUGUGGCUGUGAAGAUGAGGAUGUUUAAUAUUCACCUGAAGUUAGCCCUAACGUUCAUAACAACACCAAGGGAACACACACAAGCACAGGCACAUGCACGCACGCACGUACGCACGUACCAUAUUUACCAUCGUUUCAUUACAUUAUCCUAUUUCAGCUGUUGGUCAUUUAGGAAACAGCAUUGUGUCUGUCUG
rnacentral:lncRNA from 1 species